GAAGAAUUGUAGCUCAGUGGUAGAACAUCAGCUUCUCAUGAAGAAGGUAUCAGGUUCAAUCUCUGGCAUCUUCA